ensembl:lncRNA
AUGGGGCUUCGCGGACCGAGCAGCUCGGGGGUGUUCCUGACAGUCAGCCUUCUGUGGGUGACUGGAUGCUUCACCCAAAAAGUUUACUUUGAUUGUGGAGCCAAGGUGGAUGUUGUGGAUGUGCAGGGCCUCAUUCUGUCCCCUGGCUUCCCAUAUAACUAUUCAUCUGGAACUCACUGUGUGUGGCAGUUCUUUGUACCUGUUGGUCACCAGCUAAUCCUGGAGAUGUUUGAUUUUGAUGUCUUUGAGAGUCACGACAGUGCCGUUGUGGACGAGGUACCAAACGAUGGUGGCGCGCUGGUGUCGAAAAGCCUCGGAAGUCCAAAAGAACCCCAGUCCACACUCCGAGAGGACGUCAAGCAAGUGGUGAUCCAAGAACAGUCCACCAAAAUGGAGAUGACCAAAGUUUCCAAUUCUGCCAAAAUGCUUUCCGAUCCCCCCUCGGCUCCACAAGCAUCUCUUCCAGUUGAAAACAGAAAUUUUGUUUCAUCUCAGGCAUCAAGAGCAGCCACUGACUUUAUCAUUUCAAGCCCACGAACGGCCACAGAAACGGGUGACGCUGUGAGCCCUGAGACCCAGGCACCUUUGAUCGAUGCCUGUCCCAACGAUGUUCUCUACAUAUCAGAUCUCAUCACCUUCUCCUCCCGAUUCUGCGGCUCUAGACAGCCUUCUAGCAGCCAGUUAGUGUUUGGAUCUGAUGAUGACAUGGUUGAGGUCAUUAUGGAGUUGAUUACCACUACCCACUGGGGCCGUGGUUUCGCUCUCCUUUUCCAUUAUCAGAAUCAAACUCAGACCGCCACAAGCGAACAUCAGAGAUCACUAUUGACCUCCGACAGCAGAACUGGUGUUGUACUGCUCGGUGCUGUAAGUGGGACAGUUGUAUUUGCUGUGGCCCUUGCUGGCAUCCUCUGUGUGAUUUUCAGGUAAGGAAGUUUCUUCUACAGAUGCAGAGAUUUAUUUUGAAAUGCAAACUUAUCUGACUUAAGAGUUGCUUGGUGAACCAGGGGUGGACAUGUGUAUAUCUAAAGUCUGCAUUUUAUAUAUACAGUACAGACCAAAAGUUUGGAAACAUCACUAUUUUUAAUGUUUUUGAAAGAAGUUUCUUCUGCUCAUCAAGCCUGCAUUUAUUUGAUCAAAAAUACAGAAAAAAAUUUAAUAUUGUGAUAUAUUAUUACAAUUUAAAAUAAUUGUUUUUAAAUUUAUUAUACUUUAAAUUAUCAUUUAUUUCUGUGAUGCAAAGCUGAAUUUUUAGGAUCAUUAUCACAUGAUCCUUUAGAAAUCAUUCUAAUAUGAUGAUUCAUUAUCAAAGUUGGAAACAGUUCUGCUGCUUAAUAUUUUUUCAGAACAUGUGAUACUUUUUUAGGAUACUUUGAUGAAUAAAAAGUAAAAAAAAAAAAAAAAGAAGCUAUGU